GACGAACGCUGGCGGCGUGCUUAACACAUGCAAGUCGAACGGAGUGGCGAACGGGUGAGUAACAAGUGGGUGAUCUGCCUUGCACUUAGGGAUAAGCUGGGGAAACUGGGUCUAAUACCGGAUAGUGCAAGAUGAGCUCGUGGCCUAUCAGCUUGUUGGUGGGGUAAUGGCCUACCAAGGCGUCGACGGGUAGCCGGCCUGAGAGGGGGUACGGCCCCCUUGCCACUGUGAUACGGCCCAGACUCCUACGGGAGGCAGCAGUGGGGAAUAUUGCACAAUCGGCCGAAGCCUGAUGCAGCGUCGCCGCGUGGUGGAUGAAGGCCUUCGGGUUGUAAACUCCUUUCGACAGGGACGCGGUACCUGUAGAAGAAGCACCGGCUAACUACGUGCCAGCAGCCGCGGUAAUUC
rnacentral:rRNA from 1 species